ACUCUGUUGGUAUUUGGUUGAUUUAAUUUUAUUUCAUUUGCUUUGACUUAGAAUAAUGCAGCCCUUCCUCUGUCCAGGCAUGCAUUGGCUUCUUGGACCCAUUGCAUCUCCAGGACCCAAAAAGACAAAAAUGGGCAAAACUGUCAGUCUCCUGCUGGACAAGAGGCUGCAGUGACUCAAAGGGAAGAGGAUGCAAGUAUGAUUUGACCAGUCACGUCCUGAACCACGCGAAUCUUGAAGAACAGAUUGAAGUGGCAAUGCUGCGACAUCAGUUUUCUGAGGAAGGGGUACCUGCCACUUGAUGUCUAGAUGGAGAGCAGUAAAAACUGGCACCAAGCAAGAUGUUCCACUUUCACUGGAUGCCUGUCCUACACUGGCCUUCUUACACCUGAACAGUAGGCCAAACCUGAAAUAAAAACCUGUGCAGAACAGAAGGCUGCCCACGGAAGGUUUUCUAACAGAGUGAGAAUGCCGCAUCUCCUGGUCCCAUUUCUACCAGUGUAAUU